GAGAGAGAAAGGAGACAACGGGGAGGGGACAUUUAUUUGAUUUCAUUUUUUUCUUUUUUUUUUCUGCUUGUUUUCGUUUGGCUUUUUCCCUUU
rnacentral:ribozyme from 1 species